UAGGGAAUCUUCCACAAUGGACGCAAGUCUGAUGGAGCAACGCCGCGUGAGUGAAGAAGGUUUUCGGAUCGUAAAGCUCUGUUGUUGGUGAAGAAGGAUAGAGGCAGUAACUGGUCUUUAUUUGACGGUAAUCAACCAGAAAGUCACGGCUAACUACGUGCCAGCAGCCGCGGUAAUACGUAGGUGGCAAGCGUUGUCCGGAUUUAUUGGGCGGAAAGCGAGCGCAGGCGGAAUGAUAAGUCUGAUGUGAAAGCCCACGGGUCAACCGUGGAACUGCAGCGGAAACUGUCAUGCUUGAGUGCAGAAGAGGAGAGUGGAAUUCCAUGUGUAGCGGUGGAAUGCGUAGAUAUAUGGAAGAACACCAGUGGCGAAGGCGGCUCUCUGGUCUGCAACUGACGCUGAGGCUCGAAAGCAUGGGUAGCGAACAGG
rnacentral:rRNA from 1 species